UACUCAGUAAGCCUUUUAUUUUUGAGGAAU
rnacentral:piRNA from 1 species